GCAACAGUGGGAACCAGUGAGAAUAACAACCAAAAAGAGAGCAUGUGCUCUGUCUUUUGGGAACAUGAAAAGCUCACCAAUAUGACUGACCUAUACAGAGAAAUGCUUCCAACAUUCCAGGGCUUCAUCAAAAAGCUACAACAGGAGAAACCACUCAUACAUGUAUGAGUGGUUGAUGGCAGAGACAGCCCCUCACAGCAGGGAUGCCUGGAAUGACAGCAGACUACACCUCUCAGCUCCCUACACCAUCCACUUCUUCCUGGGACUCACACAGAGAGAGUCCCCUUGGACAAGCCAACCAGGCAUGGGGCCUCAUGGGGCCCGAAAGACCUACCAGCCAGCACAAGGGAGAAAUCUCUCUUCGUCUGGAGGACCUGACCUAGUUAACUGUUACAGGAAAGCUGAUUGAGACGGCGCGGAUAGGCCCAUUUCCCAAGCUGAGAGCAAAAAGGAGCUGAAAUCUCUUCUGCAACCGGAUCAGAGACUGCAGGCAGGAUGUCGGGCCAGCCUACCCUCAACCACGUGUCAGCUAGCUGCAGAGCCACUAGCCCGCUGCUGAAAGAAUUGACGUUUUCACUUUCCACUGCUCUCUUCCUUGGAUGGCCAAAGUGAACCGAAGUCACACAAGGCACAGGUUUAGCAGAGAAAUAAAUAGGGAAAGCUAAAUGGUUUGUAUGGAAAGCUUGUGUAAUGCAUCCACAUGGUGUUUUAAACACAUGGGGCUGAGCGACAUAGAUCCCGUUAGCAUGUUGAUACCACGCCAUUGCUGAUGUAAGUCGAGUGUGUUUUUAUGGUAUUAACAAACAUUAUCUCCACAAGAG